rnacentral:rRNA from 1 species
UGGGGAAUUUUGGACAAUGGGCGCAAGCCUGAUCCAGCAAUGCCGCGUGCAGGAUGAAGGCCUUCGGGUUGUAAACUGCUUUUGUACGGAGCGAAAAGGUCUGCCCUAAUACGGUGGGCUCAUGACGGUACCGUAAGAAUAAGCACCGGCUAACUACGUGCCAGCAGCCGCGGUAAUACGUAGGGUGCGAGCGUUAAUCGGAAUUACUGGGCGUAAAGCGUGCGCAGGCGGUUAUAUAAGACAGAGGUGAAAUCCCCGGGCUCAACCUGGGACCUGCAUUUGUGACUGUAUAGCUAGAGUACGGUAGAGGAGGAUGGAAUUCCGCGUGUAGCAGUGAAAUGCGUCGAUAUGCGGAGGAACACCGAUGGCGAAGGCAAUCCCCUGGACCUGUACUGACGCUCAUGCACGAAAGCGUGGGGAGCAAACA